rnacentral:rRNA from 1 species
GACGAACGCUGGCGGCGUGCCUAAUACAUGCAAGUUGAGCGCUGAAGGUUGGUCCUUGUACCAACUGGAUGAGCAGCGAACGGGUGAGUAACGCGUGGGGAAUCUGCCUUUGAGCGGGGGACAACCUUUGGAAACGAAUGCUAAUACCGCAUAAAAACUUUAAACACAAGCUUUAAGUUUGAAAGAUGCAAUUGCAUCACUCAAAGAUGAUCCCGCGUUGUAUUAGCUAGUUGGUGAGGUAAAGGCUCACCAAGGCGAUGAUACAUAGCCGACCUGAGAGGGUGAUCGGCCACAUUGGGACUGAGACACGGCCCAAACUCCUACGGGAGGCAGCAGUAGGGAAUCUUCGGCAAUGGACGAAAGUCUGACCGAGCAACGCCGCGUGAGUGAAGAAGGUUUUCGGAUCGUAAAACUCUGUUGGUAGAGAAGAACGUUGGUGAGAGCGGAAAGCUCAUCAAGUGACGGUAACUACCCAGAAAGGGACGGCUAACUACGUG